rnacentral:tRNA from 1 species
GCCUUUAUAGCUCAGUGGUAGAGUACUGGUCUCGUAAACCAGGGGUCGUGAGUUCAAUCUUCACUGGAGGCA